GUUACAACAAGCGGCCAGCAGCGUGCACCGCGCUCGCCGCGCCGCCUCCUCCUCCAUCACACACCCCCACCCCCCACCCUUUGCUCUUGCGCCCUCCUGUGUUGUUUUAAAUAGAGCGGUGCAUCCUGGGUUUUGCAGUGCCUCUCCCGGGCGUGUCUCGUGACAUAUGGUGGCGACAGCAGCACACAGAAGACUACAAUACCCAGAGCGCCCCUGGGGCCACAUCAAAGUAUCAGAUUACAACACAUUAGAGUGGAUGGAGUGGGAGGAGGAUGGGGGAGGAUCUGCAGAGACCGAUAUGGAGUUUAAAUAGGAUGGCUUCAUUCUGACAGGGAGAGAAAUGUGCAGCUCCCAGCAAGCACCGGGGCUCGCCUAACUAGGCCAUUAGGUGGAAGGGCAGGUAGCAGCACGGAGACGUUUGAAGAGUUCAAACUGUUGAGUGUGAUCUUUGAUCUUUUCUGUUUUUAAAUGUGUCGUCCUUGUUUCCACCAGGACCUGAAGGAGAAGAAGCUGCUGGAGGAGAAGGAGAACGGCAAAGAUGCCGCCACCAACGGAAAGGAGAAUGAGGAGAACGGCGAGCCUGAGGUAGAUGAUGAAGAUGAUGAUGAGGUUGACGAGGAGGACGAGGAAGACGAUGUAGAAGGUGACGAGGAAGACGAGGAGGACGAUGAUGAUGAAAUUGAGGGCGGCACAACUUUGUUUCUUAACCUUCUUCUUCUCUUCCUGCAGGACGACGUCGAAACCAAGAAGCAGAAAACCGACGACGACGAUUGAUGCGUUUCCCCCCCACGCCACUUCCUGGUUUCUUCACCUCUGACUGUUUUUAUAUGUCACCUGGGGGGGGGCGGGAGGCUGAUUUUAAAAGGAGAAAAAAAUAAUAAUAAAGAAAAAAAAUCCAACAUGGUCAUUAGCAAGUAGAGUUUCACAAACAUCUACCACACACACAACACACACCACACACACACACACCACACAACACUCACACACCCUCACUCUCACACACACUCAAAUCUCCCCGCAAAACUGCAAAUUUUCUAGAGGAACCCCCCCACCCCCACCACAUCGAUGCAGAAAUCCGGCUCAACAACAACAACAACACGAAAGGAGAAUUUGUUUGUAUUUUUAUUUACAUUUUAUAUUUUUGUACAUAUUGUUCGGAGGGGGGGCAGUUUCUCUCAGCAGCGAUCUCGUCAGACCAAAUCGGUGCUUCUUUAACGAAAGAUUUUACUUGGUUGACCAUGUUACGAUAUCUCAACAGAUACUAGAAAAACCAGUUACAACCAUGACAGACGACCUUAAAGCCGUUGAACUCAGAGCAUUCCAGUAAAUUUAAUGUAUGUACUUUAGCUGUACCAUACUAGUUUGUUUGUAUGGGGGGGGUAAGGCCGAAGGAAAGAGCCUCUUUUCUUUUCUUUUGUUUUAUAUGACGGCCUGUUUUGAUGUAUGUGCGAAGUUUGUUGUUUUGACAAUAAACCGGA
rnacentral:lncRNA from 1 species